rnacentral:rRNA from 1 species
CCUACGGGUGGCAGCAGUGGGGAAUAUUGGGCAAUGGGCGCAAGCCUGACCCAGCCACGCCGCGUGAAGGAAGAAGGCUUUCGGGUUGUAAACUUCUUUUGUCAGGGACGAAGCGAGUUACGGUACCUGACGAAUAAGCCACGGCUAACUACGUGCCAGCAGCCGCGGUAAUACGUAGGUGGCAGGCGUUAUCCGGAUUUACGGGGUGUAAGGGGCGUGUAGGCGGGGAGGCAAGUAAGACGUGAAAACCACGGGCUCAACCUGUGGCCUGCGUUUGAAACUGGCAAACUGGAGUGUGUGAGAGGCUAGUGGAAUUCGAGGUGUAGGAGUGAAAUCCGUAGAUAUCUGGAGGAACAUCAGUGGCGAAGGCGACUAUCUGGCACAUAACUGACGCUGAGGAGCGAAAGCGUGGGUAGCAAACAGGAUUAGAUACCCCUGUAGUC